GACGAACGCUGGCGGCGUGCCUAAUACAUGCAAGUCGUGCGGACCUUUUCAGCGCUUGCUUUUAGCUGGUUAGCGGCGGACGGGUGAGUAACGCGUGUACAACCUGCCUGUCAGACUGGGAUAACGCCGGGACACCGGCGAUAAUACCAGAUCGUUUUUUCCUCCGCAUGGGGGAAAGGGGAGAGGCGGCUGCGGCUGCCACUCACAGGUCGGAUCGCGGCGCAUGAGGGGGUUGGCGUGGUAACGGCCCAGCAAGGCAACGAGGCGUAGCGGACCUGCGGGGGUGGGCGGCCACAUUGGGACUGAGACCCGCCCCAAUGGCCUACAGGAGGCAGCAGUAGUGCAACGUCCGCCAUGGGCGGAAGUCAGAGGGCGCAACGCGGCGUGAGUGAAGAAGGCCUCCGCGUCGGAAAACUCUGCUGCCGGGGAAGAACAAGCGCCGGCCGAAGAGGGCGGCUCCGUGACGGUACCCGGCAAGAAAGCCACGGCUAACUACGUG
rnacentral:rRNA from 1 species